GGGGAAUAACUGUUUCAAUGAAACUAAAAAGAAAUUCCUUAAUAGGUGAAAAUUCCUUUGGUUAUAUAUAAUAGACGAGAAGACCCUAAGAAUUAUACAUUAAAAUUGUAAAUUUAUAAUAAAUUUUUGUUGGGGCAACAGAUUUGGUAAAAUCAAUAAUUUAAAGAUUUGCACAUUAAGUAUAUUUAAUAAGAAUUUAAUUACCUUAGGGAUAACAGCAUUAUUAAUGUAUUAGAUUGUGACCUCGAUGUUGGACUAGGGACUUUUAAAGUAAGCCACUUUAAAAGAUUGUUCUGUUCGAACAUAGAAC
rnacentral:rRNA from 1 species